UAAAGAGUGAGGAAGAACUCCACAAAUUUUUCGCACAGCUCGUUGUGGGCUUUUAUUUUCUCCCUGCUCUCCUCCACAAUUCUCUU
rnacentral:sRNA from 1 species